rnacentral:rRNA from 1 species
UACGUAGGGUGCAAGCGUUUAAUCGGAAUUACUGGGCGUAAAGCGCGUGUAGGCGGCCCUGCAAGUCGGAUGUGAAAUCCCACGGCUCAACCGUGGAAGUGCAUUCGAAACUGCAGGGCUAGAGUCCUGGAGAGGAAGGUGGAAUGCUUGGUGUAGAGGUGAAAUUCGUAGAUAUCAAGCGGAACACCGGUGGCGAAGGCGGCCUUCUGGACAGUGACUGACACUCAAGUGCGAAAGCGUGGGGAGCAAACAGG